rnacentral:misc_RNA from 1 species
GAUGAAGAACGUAGCGAAAUGCGAUACUUGGUGUGAAUUGCAGAAUCCCGUGAACCAUCGAGUCUUUGAACGCAAGUUGCGCCCGAAGCCAUUAGGCCGAGGGCACGCCUGCCUGGGUGUCUCACGUCGUUGCCCCCCCAUCUACUCCUUCGGGAUUGCGGGGGGCGGAUGAUGGCCUCCCGUGCGCCUCGUCGCGCGGUUGGCAUAAAUGCCAAGUCCUCGGCGACGCACGCCACGACAAUCGGUGGUUGCGAAACCUCGGUUGCCCGUCGUGUGCGGUCGUCGCGCAUCGAGGGCUCGAAAAAAUUGCCGGGCUCCGGCUCGGCUUUCAACGCGACCCCAGGUCAGGCGGGGUUACCCGCUGAAUUUAAGCAUAUCAAUAAGCGGAGGA